rnacentral:rRNA from 1 species
UACGUAGGGUGCGAGCGUUAAUCGGAUUUACUGGGCGUAAAGCGUGCGCAGGCGGCCCGUUAAGACAGGUGUGAAAUCCCUGAGCUCAACCUAGGAAUUGCGCUUGUGACUGGCGGGCUCGAGUACGGUAGAGGGGGGUGGAAUUCCUGGUGUAGCAGUGAAAUGCGUAGAGAUCAGGAGGAACACCGAUGGCGAAGGCAGCCCCCUGGGCCUGUACUGACGCUCAUGCACGAAAGCGUGGGGAGCAAACAGG